UACAGAGGUCCCAAGCGUUGUUCGGAUUCACUGGGCGUAAAGGGUGCGUAGGCGGUCGGGUAGGUCUGUUGUGAAAUCUCACAGCUUAACUGUGAAACUGCAUUGGAUACUAUCCGGCUAGAGGAAUGGAGGGGAGACUGGAAUACUUGGUGUAGCAGUGAAAUGCGUAGAUAUCAAGUGGAACACCAGUGGCGAAGGCGAGUCUCUGGACAUUUCCUGACGCUGAGGCACGAAAGCCAGGGGAGCAAACGGG
rnacentral:rRNA from 1 species